AUGAAUGCCCUAUCAUGGAACUGCCCGGGGGAACCGCCGGACAGUUCGGGAGGUGUUAGCCGUCUCAAAAGCCAAUAACCCAAGCUAGUCUUUCUUUGCGAGACUAGACAAGUAUCCUCGAGGAUUGAGAAGUUACGUCGGAGGCUAGGCCUCAAGGGUUUCCAUGGUGUUGAUAGUGAUGGGAGGAGUGGAGGCUUAGCCCUCUUUUGGGAUGAG
rnacentral:rRNA from 1 species